rnacentral:rRNA from 1 species
UACAGAGGUCUCAAGCGUUGUUCGGAUUCAUUGGGCGUAAAGGGUGCGUAGGUGGCGAGGUAAGUCGGAUGUGAAAUCUCCAAGCUCAACUUGGAAACUGCAUUCGAUACUGCUUUGCUAGAGGAUUGUAGAGGGCAUUGGAAUUCACGGUGUAGCAGUGAAAUGCGUAGAUAUCGUGAGGAAGACCAGUGGCGAAGGCGAAUGCCUGGGCAAUUCCUGACACUGAGGUACGAAGGCCAGGGGAGCAAACGGG